rnacentral:snoRNA from 1 species
AAUCGGAGUGAUGAAAUUUUCACCUUAGGUAGAUGCCACCAGACCGUUUUGGUCACUUACUGUGUCUGCCGAUGCUGGGGUUUGUCAUAGUUACACUGACCACAU